GGCGCAAGCGUUAUCCGGAAUUAUUGGGCGUAAAGAGCUCGUAGGCGGUUUGUCGCGUCUGCCGUGAAAGUCCGGGGCUCAACUCCGGAUCUGCGGUGGGUACGGGCAGACUAGAGUGAUGUAGGGGAGACUGGAAUUCCUGGUGUAGCGGUGAAAUGCGCAGAUAUCAGGAGGAACACCGAUGGCGAAGGCAGGUCUCUGGGCAUUAACUGACGCUGAGGUGCGAAAGCAUGGGGAGCGAACAGG
rnacentral:rRNA from 1 species